GGCCUAACACAUGCAAGUCGAGCGGUAGAGAAGGAGCUUGCUUCUUCUUGAGAGCGGCGGACGGGUGAGUAAUGCCUAGGAAUCUGCCUGGUAGUGGGGGACAACGUUUCGAAAGGAACGCUAAUACCGCAUACGUCCUACGGGAGAAAGUGGGGGAUCUUCGGACCUCACGCUAUCAGAUGAGCCUAGGUCGGAUUAGCUUGUAGGUGAGGUAAUGGCUCACCUAGGCAACGAUCCGUAACUGGUCUGAGAGGAUGAUCAGUCACACUGGAACUGAGACACGGUCCAGACUCCUACGGGAGGCAGCAGUGGGGAAUAUUGGACAAUGGGCGAAAGCCUGAUCCAGCCAUGCCGCGUGUGUGAAGAAGGUCUUCGGAUUGUAAAGCACUUUAAGUUGGGAGGAAGGGUUGUAGCUUAAUACGCUGCAACCUUGACGUUACCAACAGAAUAAGCACCGGCUAACUCUGUGCCAGCAGCCGCGGUAAUACAGAGGGUGCAAGCGUUAAUCGGAAUUACUGGGCGUAAAGCGCGCGUAGGCGGCUUGAUAAGAUGGGUGUGAAAUCCCCGGGCUUAACCUGGGAACUGCAUCCAUAACUGUCUGGCUAGAGUACAGUAGAGGGUGGUGGAAUUUCCUGUGUAGCGGUGAAAUGCGUAGAUAUAGGAAGGAACACCAGUGGCGAAGGCGACCACCUGGACUG
rnacentral:rRNA from 1 species